rnacentral:tRNA from 1 species
AACCAAAUGACAGAAAAAUGUAACGAAUUUAAGUUUCGUAAAU